rnacentral:misc_RNA from 1 species
AACGCACCUUGCGCUCCUUGGUAUUCCGAGGAGCAUGCCUGUUUGAGUGUCAUUAAAUUCUCAACUCCUCCAGCUUUUGUGGUUGGUCUAGGGGCUUGGAUGUGGAGGUUUUGCGGGCCUUUCGAGGUCGGCUCCUCUGAAAUACAUUAGCGGAACCGUUUGCGAUCCGUCACAGGUGUGAUAAUUAUCUACGCCAGUGGGUUGCUCUCUGUCUGUUCAGCUUCUAACUGUCCCGUCUCUGUGGACAAACUCUCCUGAACGUUUGACCUCAAAUCAGGUAGGACUACCCGCUGAACUUAA